AGUGUAGUUGCUCGCACCUGCUGCUGACUGUCCAAGGAAUCCAACCUGAACCCGCACUUUCCUCCCGAAAUCCGGCAGAAAUGAAGACGAACUCCGAUUCCCAGUAAUGGAGGAGUACGGGCGCCGGCUGGUCGCGGCUGGGUCCGACAACCUCACCCUCGAGGCGCUCUUCCGGUCCGAGCCCGCGGCGGGGAGGCCCGUGCGCGCGCUGGUGCACGACCUCCCGUGAGCGGGCCGCCGGCGGUGCCCUUCUCACAGCCAUGCGCGGUGGAAGUCAUCUGCGGGGAGGCCUUCGCCAGGCGCGUAGGGCUGCAUAUCGUGGAAGGGGCUGCCGAGUGUUGUUGGUCAACUCGUUCCAUGAUACCGAGCUGACGGUGAGGAAGAAGGAUUACCUGGCGUCAACAUGGCGUGUGAAGUCCAUCAGCCCGACAGUGCCGCCGUUCAACAAGACCAUUGUUUUGACCUCUUUGAGAAUUGAGAGCACAGCACCGUGCAUGGCAUGGCUGGAUAGCCAGCUCCCUUGCUCAGUCGUCUAUGCCCUUCUAACUUCUAUGAAACUGUCACUGACCUUGACGCGAGGCUGUUAUAGGAGAUAGGCAAUGGACUCUGCAAAUCUGGUAAGCAGUUCCUCUGGGGUCUCAGAUCCGUUCACGAAUACAAGGUUUCAGAGCAAGCCGGUGAGGUGUAGGAUAGAGGGUUAACUUUUUCCUGGUGCCCCCAGCUUGAGGUUUUACCACACAAGACCUAAGGUAUGUAUGUUUUACUUACAGCUGAUUGUGUGAUUUAUUAAGCAGAAGAAGAAAAAUGUCCAUGUAACUAUCUUACAGGUUCAUAUAUGAACAGUUGAACACUGUGCUGCUGAAUGUGUAAAGUACAUUAUCAAAGUAUAUAAGCGGAGCAAUAUAAAAACCAUCACUGUUCAUGUGAGGUGUUGUGAUGUCUAAUAUUCUUACUGCAUAUUAAUAUUCACUAAUUGUCCUUAUUUUUCAGAAGAUGAAAUGAAAUAAAUGUUGACGUCCUAGCAAUUACAAAUUAGUGUGCAAAGGCGUUAGUCUCCAGUUAUAGCAACACAAUGCCAUAUUAAUCAAUUACAAUGUGAAAAGGUAACAUUUACAGUAUAAUGCUACUAUGGUAGAUAGAAACUAUGGUUUCUAAAAAUCGCACAAGCCAUGUCUACUGCUUAAGUACUGCCUCUAUCUAGUUUUCAUCAGCAUAACUGUAGAAACCUGAAGGCGGGGAAUAAGGAAACAUGAACAGUAUAAACAUAUAUUUUUCCUAAAUUUACUGCUUAUCCUUCCAUAGACUCUGUCUUCGCUUAGGUUGUGUUGAUUGUUUAGUAAUGGUUUGCGAUAAUUUGUUGCUACAAGAGCAUACUGCUGUUGUCCAUGAUACUUUCAUACAGGGUAUAUGAGGUAUAUGUGUACCAUAGAGUGCAGUGUCCUUAACUUGCAAAGAUAUAUUUCUAAUCUAGUUAAUAUAGUUUAGGGUCAUGUACUCAGCCAAAUCUUGUAAGCUGUAGCUUAUCUCUUAAUUAAAUCUAAUCCUGUCUAACUCAAAGUGUAAAAGGGAUGUGAAUAUAUCCUGCAUAAUGUGUAGUGAACAGAUCGAGUGAUCUGUUCCAAAUAACUAAGUAGCUAGUAAAAAAAAUAACAUUUCACUUAUGAACUCAUCAACAGGUUGUUUCUUAACUCCGUGCGGAUGGAACUCUGCAAUAGAAGCAAUUACUACUGGGGUAGCACUGUUGGCAAUGCCUCAGUAAAUGAUUAACCAACUACGACAAUGCAUUGGUGUGGUGAGAAAGGAAAAUUGGUGUGCUGGUGCAUCGUGGUAAAGGUGCAGUCAAAAACCAAGAGUUAUAUAGAGAGGUGCAUAAGAGAAGUAUUCGAUGGUGAAUUUGCAUCCAUGUACGCCUCUAAUUGUUGUUGAAACAUUCCUAACGCGAUCGAAAUGUCUUAUAUUCGAAACUGUGAUCAUCUCUAAACUGUAAUUUUAUACUAUUACUGGGGGGAGAAUGCCUACUUUUGUUGUGUUAAUUAAUAGAUUUAUAGGUAUAUUAUCUUUGGUGGUAAUUUUUUUUGAAAGUAUCGUUCCAUCUUUGUUUUUUUAACGCUUGCAUUUCUGUUUCAAUAAUGCAAGUUCUCUUGUUUGUCAGAUCAGUAAGAAAAGAAAUGAGUUUAAGACAGAGCAAAACUACGCAGCUCCAAAAGGUGAGGACCGGUUCAGCUCAACUAAUAAACCAGUCGGGUGAAGACGAGAUACUGAAGCUUCAAGUCCCUAAUGAAGGUGAGCGACAGUACAUGAUUAGCACAAGGUUUUUGGUGCUGUUUCAUCAGGUCCGGUGAUUGAAGCAAAAAAAGUUGCUCGAGAUUAGCAGAAGGCUGAGGGUGAGUCAGGGUCCGGUGAUGGAUGCAACAAAAUGCAUUGUUGUUUCUCCUCUCCUUAUCCGAGUAGAUGGUGUGAAAAAUGGGCACCAGUUAUCUUCAUUUGCCAUAUGUAAACAAGACAUUUACGAUGGCUACAUACUUAGGAACAUGUAGGCAAAAAUCCUACACAUGCAGAAAAUAACUUAUUGACCCA